UUUGCUCCUGAAGUGGGGAUUAAUUACAAGGGGCGUGUGCUCACCAGCAACCAGCUCCUCUCUCUUCACUGCUUGCUCGCUUUCCUUAUUCAGAGUCGCCAAAGGUACGGGGAAUACUGAGAAGGUUCUUAGAACAAAUAUCUCCAGAAAGCUCAUAAAAGGAGGCAUUCCUCCUUUGCUUCCUUUUUUCCAAGGUCACGAUCAAGCAAAAACUUCCUAUUUGCACAGAGAGGCUGCCUUAGCCUCUGAGAGGAGGACAUGUAAAUUACUGACCUUGAAGACACUGCACUACCUUGCGGCACUGCAGGCCUUCCAAUGACGCUAAUAUCAAGUUAAAUCAGCAGGGGGCACAAUUUCUCCACAAUGU
rnacentral:lncRNA from 1 species